UGGGUAGUUGUUGUUGUUGUUGUUGUUCUGCACUUUUAAGGCGUAUGCUGCGAACUUUUAAAGGUUUUCAUUGUGAACUUUUAAAGAUCUUGACCAUGAACUUUUAAUGAUCUUCGCACGAACUUUUAUGGGUCUUUGCCACAAAUUUUAAAGGUAUCCACCACGAACUUUUAAAGUUCUUGACCGCGGGCUUUUAAAGAUCUUCGCUACCACGAACUUUUAUGGAUCUUUGCUGUGAAUUUUUAAGAGUCUUCAUUGCGUGCUUUUAAACGUCUUCAUCGCGUACUUUUAAAGGUUUUCGCCGUGAACUUUUAAAGGUUCACCAGCUUCUAAGGAUCCUCGCACGAACUUUUAUGGAUCUUCCCAACAAAUUGUAAAGGUAUUCAUCGCGAACGUUUAAUGUCUUCACCACGAACCUUUAGAGGCCUUCAUUGCGAGCUUUUAAAGUUCUUGACCACCAGCUUAUAAGGAACUUCGAACAAACUUUUAUGGAUCUUCCCCGAUACUUUUAAAGGUAUUCAUCGCGAGCUUUUAAAGGUCUUCAUCGCGAACUAUUAAAGGUCUUCGUUGCGAGCUUUUAAAGGUCUUCAAUGUGAACUUUUAAAGAUCUUGACCACGAGCGUUUAAGGAUCUUUGCACGAAUUUUUAUGGGUCUUCGCCACAAAUUUUAAAGGUAUCCAUUGCGAACUUUUAAAGGUCUUGACCACGAGCUUUUACGGAUCUUCGCGCGAUAAGUCUUUCCCUCAUACCCUAAGACCACCUCUUCAUGCAUGGAUCAUCUUGUUGAACAAAAACACAUCUUUCUAGCUUAAACUAGAAAACAAAAAAAAAGACAACAAAACAAGAAAAACACAAAAAAAAAAAAAAGAAAAAAACAUAUCUUCGCGUCAAUAUUUCUAAGUUGUCAAAAAUA
rnacentral:lncRNA from 1 species